rnacentral:tRNA from 1 species
GCCCAGCUGGCUCAUUGGGUAUAGCACAUGACUCUUGAUUUGGGGUUGUGAGUUCAAGCCCCAUGCUGGGCA